rnacentral:lncRNA from 1 species
UAGUAAAAAUUUAUUGUGCACACACCAAAAAUAGUUUGCAAACCGGGAGCUCUGGAACCAGAGCACGGAAUGAGGCCCAGGGUAUAUCUUUAUAAAGCUACUUGUGCCGUGAGAAAGCAGUGACUGUUUAUUCUUCACGGAUUGGCUGCAAUGAGAUUUUUCAGUGGUCCCUUCAUAUCAUCCAUGGGAACCAGUUCAAGUUUUGCUUAUCAUUUCCAGAAGCUCAAACAAGAAAUGAUCUAGGUCAACUUAGCCUUGCAAAAUAAGCUAAAUUAUGCUUUGUUUGUAUGAUCAUACUGGUUACUCUGCUUAGAAUUUUCAAGGCUAGUCUCCGUUCGGUUUUGAUUUUAAUAGGCUCUAUCUCUCAAUAAAUGCGAGAGAGCCCACGAAAGCUCCCCAAUACGAAGCUGCGCUAUCUGGGCGGCACUAGGACCCCGGGGGCUCCAGGUUAGCUCUCCCAGCCGGCGGGUGGUGGCGCGGGUUUAAGGACCGGCAGGAGCUGGAAGCAAGGGAAGGGCGAGGCGAGUGAGCAGGGACACAAUGGACACUUUCUGCCCUCUGGAGGGAGCUAUCCAAAAGAAGAAACUGCACUUGGAAAUUGACCUAUGAGCAGCACAGAAGAUGAAGAAGAAGGAAAGGGGCCAUCAAGCAGAGAAAUGUGGAGAUCCUGGUGAUGCUGGCAAUGACCCUUCAGCAGGGAGAUGGCUGGACCUGCCAAGUGGAGCACCCCAGCCUGGAUGGUCCUGUCACUGUGGAGUGGAGUUCCUGAUCUGACCCAAAGACCUCCGUGUGCCCCGGAACAAGCAUUUUUCUAUCUUUCCUCAGUCCUAGAGGCUGGUUCUGGGACAGACUUCAGCCUCCCAAGAGGAUGUUACUACUAAGUACAUCUGCAGUGGCUGCCGUGAGGCAGACAGUGGGGAGAGAAUGAGGCAGAGCAGGAGACAAUGAGGCAGACAGUGGGGAGAGAAUGAGGCAGAGCAGGAGAGAAUGAGGCAGACAGUGGGGAGAGAAUGAGGCAGAGCAGGAGAGAAUGAGGCAGACAGUGGGGAGAGAAUGAGGCAGAGCAGAGCAGGAUUCAGAGGAGCUCUGAAUCCAGGACUUAUUUCCCUAUCUGGUGGAGGGAGAAGGGGUGGAGGUGAAACAGCUCAGCGGGGCUCAGCCAACCAGAAAAUGUCAGAAGGAGCAUCUUAGUGUCUGGGAAAGAGGCGAGAAACGACGCGGCUGAGAAAGUCCCAACCUAUGUGGGGUUCAGGGAUAAGAGGAAGAGAACAAAAAUGGAGACAUGAUAAUCACCUUCUUUUUAAUGGGAUUGAUUGGAAAUACGUCUUUGAAAUUGAUCCUGGAACAUUUUUUAUUUGUAGUAACUUUUGUGAAUGGAUAAUUUUCUUCAUAAUUUCAUGUUGAUUUUUUGUAUCAUAUAAGAAUUCCCUUGAUUGUUAUUAAGUAAUGUUAUAUUUUACCCUUUCAUUCCUUUGAUAAUUUUGGAGGAAUCUGAUAAUAUUUAAUCAAAAAUUUCCAGACAUAUAAUCAGAAUGCAAAAAAUAUUAACUAUUUCACUUCUAAUUAUUCUUUUUAUUUCUUCUUGCAGUUUUUAUCUUUUUAUACGAGAUUUCUCUAAUAUUUUACCACUUAGUGUAAAAUUAACUUUGCUUUAUAAAUUCUUUUUUUAUAUAUAAAUUUGAUGUCUUUUCAUAAAUUUGUGUAGAACUGUAGUAAAAGCCCC